GAAAAAACCUCCGGAAAAAAACUUGCUGAAGUUUUCCCACUACGAAUUUGAGAUCAACGCCAGCGUUUUGUCAUCCGUUGUGACUCAGUGGUCAUCUGGUUCAGCCGAAGGCUAAUGUGAACGACAGCUGGACGGGACCGCUAAUUAGCCGGCUAAGCUAACGUGUUAGACAGGACAAGGACACCAGCCUGUGUCAAAGACUCGACAAAAUGCUGUCUCGGAUGUUAUUUUCCCUCCUCAACAAGCUCCACGUCGUAGAGAAGUUGGCUGAGUCUCGUCCGAUCCGUAGGGCGGCCCAGAUCACAGCUUACGCCAUCACCAAGGCUCAGUUAGCCGGUCGGGACGCCUCGGAGCGGGUCAUGCGGUCCCAGACGCUGCGGCAGGUCCGUGAGGAGGCCGGCAAAAUCCCAGGUGACCUGGGAGAGAUGGGCAGCCGCCUGAGGAAAGUCCGAAAGACGUUUGUGAAUGAAGUGAAGGAGGGAUGGAAGGACGGUUCCAGACAAAUCAAGAAGUAAUGAGAGCAGAGUGGGGAUCUACUGAUAACAGAACUUUCAUUGCCGGUCCCAGCCUGACAGAUCCUCGAUUUUUUUCUUUUGCCCUCACCCAACUUCCUGUUGGACAAUGACUGUGUGUUGAUAGCCUCUUACAGACAGCUUUGUAGAAUAGCCAAAACUGUCAUGAAAAAAAUAUGAAUAGAUUUUUGGAAAAGUUUAAGUGCACUUCACAGAAGGGGGAUGUAGUUCAUAUACCGAAACAUAAGGUUUUUUAGUGCAAAGAGGGCAUCAACAAAAGGUGGUUGUAAUGAUGCUGUCCCUCCACCACUGUGCACACAUGCACCAACUAAACCAGUACACUAAUUAUGUGAGCUUCUGUGGGUCUGUAAGUUAUGUUGUUAGUGGAAAACCUUUUAUCAGCCAGUAUGUUUGUACAGAGAGCUGAGAGUAAAUUCACCAUUUUGCUCUGAUUGUAUAAAUAAAGAUUCGAACUUA